GAUGAACGCUAGCGGGAGGCCUAACACAUGCAAGCCGAGCGGUAUAGAUCUUUCGGGAUCUUGAGGGCGGCGUACGGGUGCGGAACACGUGUGCAACCUGCCUUUAUCUGGGGGAUAGCCUUUCGAAAGGAAGAUUAAUACCCCAUAAUAUUUAGAAUGGCAUCAUUUUAAAUUGAAAACUCCGGUGGAUAGAGAUGGGCACGCGCAAGAUUAGAUAGUUGGUGAGGUAACGGCUCACCAAGUCUGCGAUCUUUAGGGGGCCUGAGAGGGUGAUCCCCCACACUGGUACUGAGACACGGACCAGACUCCUACGGGAGGCAGCAGUGAGGAAUAUUGGACAAUGGGUGAGAGCCUGAUCCAGCCAUCCCGCGUGAAGGACGACUGCCCUAUGGGUUGUAAACUUCUUUUGUAUAGGGAUAAACCUACUCUCGUGAGAGUAGCUGAAGGUACUAUACGAAUAAGCACCGGCUAACUCCGUGCCAGCCGCCGCCGUAAGAC
rnacentral:rRNA from 1 species